rnacentral:rRNA from 1 species
UUAAGCAUAUCAAUAAGGGGAGGAAAAGAAACCAACAGGGAUUGCCCUAGUAACGGGGAGUGAACCCGGAAAACCCCCAAUUUAAAAUCCGGCCCAAGCCCUUUUUGUAAUUUGUAGAGGAUGCUUCAGGGCACCGGCCGGUCUAACUUCCUUGGAACAGGACGUCAUAGAGGGUGAGAAUCCCGUAUGCGACCGGUUGGCACCCGUCACGUAGCUCCUUCGACGAGUCGAGUUGUUUGGGAAUGCAGCUCUAAAUGGGAGGUAAAUUUCUUCUAAAGCUAAAUACCGGCCAGAGACCGAUAGCGCACAAGUAGAGUGAUCGAAAGAUGAAAAGCACUUUGGAAAGAGAGUUAAAAAGCACGUGAAAUUGUUGAAAGGGAAGCGCAUGCAACCAGACUUGUCGGCGGUGUUCCGCCGGUCUUCUGACCGGUCUACUCGCCGCCGGCAGGCCAGCAUCAUCUGGGUGCGCCGGACAAAGGCGCGGGGAAUGUAGCUCCUCGGAGUGUUAUAGCCCCGCGCACAAUACGGCGCCGCCCGGGUGAGGUCCGCGCUUCGGCUAGGAUGCUGGCGUAAUGGUUGUAUGCGGCCCGUCUUGAAACACGGACCAAGGAGUCUAACAUCUAUGCGAGUGUUCGGGUGUCAAACCCCUACGCGGAAUGAAAGUGAACGGAGGUGGGAAGCGCAAGCUGCACCAUCGACCGAUCCUGAUGUCUUCGGAUGGAUUUGAGUAAGAGCAUAGCUGUUGGGACCCGAAAGAUGGUGAACUAUGCCUGAAUAGGGUGAAGCCCCACGAAACUCUGGUGGAGGCUCGCAGAAGUUUUCUCCCGAAAUACCCGCCGGAAAUUAGGGUAUAGGGGCGAAAGACUAAUCGAACCAUCUAGUAGCUGGUUCCUGC